AGUGAACGCUGGCGGUAGGCCUAACACAUGCAAGUCGAACGGCAGCACAGUAAGAGCUUGCUCUUACGGGUGGCGAGUGGCGGACGGGUGAGGAAUACAUCGGAAUCUACUUUUUCGUGGGGGAUAACGUAGGGAAACUUACGCUAAUACCGCAUACGACCUACGGGGGAAAGCAGGGGAUCUUCGGACCUUGCGCGAUUGAAUGAGCCGAUGUCGGAUUAGCUAGUUGGCGGGGUAAAGGCCCACCAAGGCGACGGUCCGUAGCUGGUCUGAGAGGAUGAUCAGCCACACUGGAACUGAGACACGGUCCAGACUCCUACGGGAGGCAGCAGUGGGGAAUAUUGGACAAUGGGCGCAAGCCUGAUCCAGCCAUACCGCGUGGGUGAAGAAGGCCUUCGGGUUGUAAAGCCCUUUUGUUGGGAAAGAAAAGCAGCAGGUUAAUACCCCGCUGUUCUGACGGUACCCAAAGAAUAAGCACCGGCUAACUUCGUG
rnacentral:rRNA from 1 species